AAAUAAGCUCACCCUUAUACCUGCUGUUUGUUUUUCUUUGCUUUUGUAGCUCUUGAUCACUGGGUCCUUGUUGAUAGAAGUUGAGAAAAGACAAUCUGAUCUGCUAGUGAAAUCUGCUUUCUUUGUCAACGUGAUAUUUUGUGUAGUUGGACUGGUUGCAAUAAUCCUACAUGGUAUUGAGAUUGCACAAACUGUUAAAGAAGGAAACCCAUGUGACUCAAAUCCCAGUUUUUACUGCCGAAAUUAUUAUCAGAUUCUGUCCUUUGGCCUGAACUCUGUGUUCCUCAUCUUUGUGCUUCUUGAAGUAUCCAUAGCUAUCGUGGCCAUAAGUAGACUCAGGACUCAAAAGCAAGAGAGCUAUCAACCAAUGGCAUCAUGAAGACAAGUGGUUCCUCUUCUCUGUCACACAAUGCUGAAUAUUUACUCUAGAUGCUUCCCUGGCUUGAAGCAAUAUGAGUGUGAGCUUCCAAUCUUUACCUUUCCAGUAAACCUUCCCUUCCCUUGCUAAAUCCCCAAAAUCUGCCUCAACCUAGAAAUGGAAAACAAGUUUUGUGUUUGUUUAUUAUGAGCUUCUUCUAUACAGGGCAGCCACCAGUUUAUCCUAAAUGCAAGGCCUGUCACAUUCCCCGUGUUAUGAAACAUCCUAUGUAGUUUCAUCAGUGUUCAUAUCCUGAAAAGCACCAAUCGUGAUGUGUGCUGGCGGUUCUAAAUUUUAUAAUACAAGGGUUCUACCAUCACUUCCUUCCAUUUGUAACUCUUUGGGGUUUUCAUGAAGAAGAGACAGAUUAUUUGAAAGUGUUUUCCUCUUCCCCACCAUAAGAGGCCAUCUAUUUGGAAUCGCCUUUAAAUUUGUAUAUUUUCCUCUGUAUGUUUGUACGAGAGAGAGCUUUUUCUUAGUAGGCUUUCUGAGUUUUUUCAACUUCACUUUUCUUUUUUAUACAUAACUUAAAAUUUUAAGAUGACAGAAACUAUCAAGAACUAACGUUUAGAAUAAAAAGGAAGAAAGAAAAGAAAUAAGAAAGGAA
rnacentral:lncRNA from 1 species